rnacentral:sRNA from 1 species
UUGCUUUCCGGCGUCUGCGAGGAUGAGAACCUCCGGGGGCAGGGAGGUUCGACCCGAGCGUAGCGAGAGAACGUUGCGCAGCAACGGCCCGCAGGGCGAAGCCGCGCAGCGGCGAGUUAUCCUCUGGCACCGACCA